rnacentral:misc_RNA from 1 species
AGCAGCCGCGGUAAUUCCAGCUCCAAUAGCGUAUAUUAAAGUUGUUGCGGUUAAAAGCUCGUAGUUGAAUUUCGGGGUUAGCAGGUCGGUCGUGCCAUCGGUAUGAACUGGUCUCGCUGAUCCCUCCCUCUUGACGAACUGUGAUGCCAUUAAUUUGGUGUCGCAGGGAAUCAGGACUGUUACUUUGAAAAAUUAGAGUGUUUAAAGCAGGCUCACGCUUGAAUACAUUAGCAUGGAAUAAUGAAAUAGGACGCUUGAUCCUAUUUUGUUGGCUUCUAGGAUUGACGUAAUGAUUAAUAGGGAUAGUUGGGGGCAUUAGUAUUCAAUUGUCAGAGGUGAAAUUCUUGGAUUUAUUGAAGACUAACUACUGCGAAAGCAUUUGCCAAGGAUGUUUUCAUUAAUCAAGAACGAAAGUUAGGGGAUCGAAGACGAUCAGAUACCGUCGUAGUCUUAACCAUAAACUAUGCCGACUAGGGAUCGGAUGAUGUUAAUUUUUAAUGACU